rnacentral:rRNA from 1 species
CGCUGGCGGCGUGCUUAACACAUGCAAGUCGAACGGGAUCCAUCGGGCUUUGCUUGGUGUUGAGAGUGGCGAACGGGUGAGUAAUGCGUGACCGACCUGCCCCAUACACCGGAAUAGCUCCUGGAAACGGGUGGUAAUGCCGGAUGUUCCAGUUGAUCGCAUGGUCUUCUGGGAAAGCUUUCGCGGUAUGGGAUGGGGUCGCGUCCUAUCAGCUUGACGGCGGGGUAACGGCCCACCGUGGCUUCGACGGGUAGCCGGCCUGAGAGGGCGACCGGCCACAUUGGGACUGAGAUACGGCCCAGACUCCUACGGGAGGCAGCAGUGGGGAAUAUUGCACAAUGGGCGCAAGCCUGAUGCAGCGACGCCGCGUGAGGGAUGGAGGCCUUCGGGUUGUAAACCUCUUUUAUCGGGGAGCAAGCGUGAGUGAGUGUACCUUUCGAAUAAGCACCGGCUAACUACGUGCCAGCAGCCGCGG